GAACGGGUGAGUAACACGUGAGUAACCUGCCCCUGACUCUGGGAUAAGCCCGGGAAACUGGGUCUAAUACCGGAUAUGACUACUGGCCGCAUGGUCUGGUGGUGGAAAAGGAUUUUUCCGGCUCGGGAUGGACCCGCGGCCUAUUCAGCUUGUUGGUGAGGUAGUGGCUCAACCAAGGCGACGACGGGUAGCCGGCCUGAGGAGGGGUGACCGGCCACACUGGGACUGAGACACGACCCAGACUCCUACGGGAGGCAGCAGUGGGGAAUAUUGCACAAUGGGCGAAAGCCUGAUGCAGCGACGCCGCGUGAGGGAUGACGGCCUUCGGGUUGUAAACCUCUUUCAGUAGGGAAGAAGCGAAAGUGACGGUACCUGCAGAAGAAGCGCCGGGCUAACUACGUGCCAGCAGCCGCGGUAAUACGUAGGGCGCAAGCGUUAUCCGGAAUUAUUGGGCGUAAAGAGCUCGUAGGCGGUUUGUCGCGUCUGCCGUGAAAGUCCGGGGCUUAACCCCGGAUCUGCGGUGGGUACGGGCAGACUAGAGUGAUGUAGGGGAGACUGGAAUUCCUGGUGUAGCGGUGAAAUGCGCAGAUAUCAGGAGGAACACCGAUGGCGAAGGCAGGUCUCUGGGCAUUAACUGACGCUGAGGAGCGAAAGCAUGGGGAGCGAACAGGAUUAGAUACCCUGGUAGUCCAUGCCGUAAACGUUGGGCACUAGGUGUGGGGAACAUUCCACGUUUUCCGCGCCGUAGCUAACGCAUUAAGUGCCCCGCCUGGGGAGUACGGCCGCAAGGCUAAAACUCAAAGGAAUUGACGGGGGCCCGCACAAGCGGCGGAGCAUGCGGAUUAAUUCGAUGCAACGCGAAGAACCUUACCAAGGCUUGACAUGGACUGGAUCGCCGCAGAGAUGUGGUUUCCCUUCGGGGCUGGGUUCACAGGUGGUGCAUGGUUGUCGUCAGCUCGUGUCGUGAGAUGUUGGGUUAAGUCCCGCAACGAGCGCAACCCUCGUUCCAUGUUGCCAGCGGGUUAUGCCGGGGACUCAUGGGAGACUGCCGGGGUCAACUCGGAGGAAGGUGAGGACGACGUCAAAUCAUCAUGCCCCUUAUGUCUUGGGCUUCACGCAUGCUACAAUGGCCGGUACAAAGGGCUGCGAUAUCUGUCAGGUGGAGCUAAUCCCAAAAAGCCGAUCUCAGUUCGGAUUGGGGUCUUGCAAACCUCGGAACCCAUGAAGUCGGAGUCGCUAGUAAUCGCAGAUCAGCAACGCUGCGGUGAAUACGUUCCCGGGCCUUGUACACACCGCCCGUCAAGUCAUGAAAGU
rnacentral:rRNA from 1 species